rnacentral:rRNA from 1 species
UGCGUAGGCGGUCGGGUAAGUCUGAUGUGAAAUCUCCGAGCCCAACUCGGAAACUGCAUCGGAUACUACUUGGCUUGAGGAUUGGAGGGGGGAGUGGAAUUCUCGGUGUAGCAGUGAAAUGCGUAGAUAUCGAGAGGAACACCAGUGGCGAAGGCGACUCCCUGGACAAUUCCUGACGCUGAGGCACGAAAGCUAGGGGAGCAAACA